GAGUUUGAUCAUGGCUCAGAUUGAACGCUGGCGGCAUGCCUUACACAUGCAAGUCGAACGGCAGCACGGGAGCUUGCUCCUGGUGGCGAGUGGCGAACGGGUGAGUAAUGCAUCGGAACGUAUCCUGGAGUGGGGGAUAACGUAGCGAAAGUUACGCUAAUACCGCAUAUUCUGUGAGCAGGAAAGCGGGGGACCUUCGGGCCUCGCGCUCUUGGAGCGGCCGAUGUCGGAUUAGCUAGUUGGUGAGGUAAAGGCUCACCAAGGCGACGAUCCGUAGCAGGUCUGGGAGGAUGAUCUGCCACACUGGAACUGAGACACGGUCCAGACUCCUACGGGAGGCAGCAGUGGGGAAUUUUGGACAAUGGGGGCAACCCGUGAUCCAGCCAUGCCGCGUGAGUGAAGAAGGCCU
rnacentral:rRNA from 1 species